UUGUAGGCUGCAACUCGCCUACAUGAAGUCGGAAUUGCUAGUAAUCGCGGAUCAGCAUGCCGCGGUGAAUACGUUCCCGGGCCUUGUACACACCGCCCGUCACACCAUGGGAGUCGGUAACACCCGAAGCCUGUAGUCUAACCGCAAGGGGGACGCAGUCGAAGGUGGGAUUGAUGACUGGGGUGAAGUCGUAACAAGGUAGC
rnacentral:rRNA from 1 species